AUUACUGCACUUGCGAAACUUAAGUAGGGAGGACGCAUCAACAAAGGCCACUAGGUGAUUGAAUUCCGAGGUGAGGCUACGGCCGAUCCGUAUGGCUGGUGUUGGUGCCGAGAAAAGCCCCUAUGCAUGCUAAGCAACCCGUACCGUAAACCGACACAGGUGGGUGGGUAGAGUAUACCAAGGCGCAAGAGUGAACCCUGGUUAAGGAACUCGGCAAAUUAGCCCCGUAACUUCGGAAGAAGGGGUGCCCCAUGCAAAUGGGGCCGCAGUGAAAUGGCCCAACCGACUGUUUAGCAAAAACACAGCACUCUGCCAAGACGCAAGUCCAAGUAUAGGGUGUGACACGUGACCAAUGCGGAAAGAUUAAGGUAAGGGGUUAGUCGCAAGGCGAAGCUCUGAGCCCAAGUCCCCGUGAAUGUCGGCCGUAACUAUAACGGUCCUAAGGUAGCGAAAUUCCUUGUCGGGUAAGUUCCGACCUGCACGAAUCGUGUAACGAGUUGGGCACUGUCUCAACCAGGUGCUCAGUGAAAUUGUAAUGGCGGUGUAAAUGCCGCCUACCCGCAGAAGGACGGAAAGACCCUAUAGACCUUAACUGUAAGCUGUCAUUGGUUUUUCGAUUCUCAUGCUCAGCAUAAGUGGGAGACGUUGAUCUGGCCCUUUAGGGGGUCGGGGAGUCAUCAGUGAGAUACCACCCUUGGGUGUUGGAAGAUCUAACCCCGAUCCGUGAAACCGGACGGGAAACAGUGUCAGCCGGUCAGUUUUACUGGGGCGGUAUCCUCCCAAAGAGUAACGGGGGAGCGCGAAGGUGGGCUCAGCAUGGUCUGCAACCAUGUGUCGAGUGCAUAGGCAUAAGCCCGCCUAACUGUGAGGCCUACAAGCCGAGCAGAGACGAAAGUCGGCCUAAGUGAUCCGGCGGUAGAAUGUGGAAUUGCCGUCGCUCAACGGAUAAAAGGUACCUUAGGGAUAACAGGCUGUUUUCGCCCAAGAGUUCAUAUCGACGGCGAAGUUUGGCACCUCGAUGUCGGCUCGUCGCAUCCUGGGGCUGGAGAAGGUCCCAAGGGUCCGGCUGUUCGCCGGUUAAAGCGGCACGCGAGCUGGGUUCAGAACGUCGCGAGACAGUUCGGUCCUCUAUCCUCUGUGGGCGCAGGAAAACUGAGGGGUUCAAUUCCUAGUACGAGAGGACCGGAAUUGACGCACCUCUGGUGCACCGGUUGUCGUGUCAACGGCAUGGCCGGGUAGCUAUGUGCGGAAGGGAUAAGCGCUGAAAGCAUCUAAGCGCCAAGCCCCUCCCAAGAUGAGUUUUCCCUGAAGGAUCGUGGAAGACUACCACGUUGAUAGGCCGGAAGUGGAAGUGUAGCAAUAUAUGCAGCUUACCGGUACUAAUCAUCUGAAAAA
rnacentral:rRNA from 1 species